AAAUUAUAGAUUCGAGGAGCUUCAUUUCAAGCCCUCAAUAUUCUUGCUCUGGCUUCCUAUUGCAUUCUAAUCUUCUAUUACAUUCACUCUUUUAUCACUCUUUUAGUAGAGUGUCAUAUACAUGUAUUUGAGUGAUUGCAUCGUAUUUGAUGGCCACAUGCUAGGCCCCAGAGAUAGACAGAUGAAUCUAUACAGGCCUUUCUCUUUUUUCAAAAUUUUGGGAAUGUAAGUCUCUCUAUUGCUUUCCAGGCUGUAGUUCAGCAGCUAUUCACAGGCACUAUCGCAGUACACUGCAACCUUGAACUUAUUUGACGCUAAGACACUUGCUGUAACAGAGGUGUAGAUGUUUCAGCUGAGAAGAGGAAAAGAUACUUGGGUGAGGGGAGGGAGUGAUGCUGCUAUAUAGCACGGUCUUUGUUGAUUUUCUAUUUGGGAGAUCUGUUCAAUGCAGAAAAUGUGGUGUUGAAGUUUUCAGCUAUUAUUGUAUUGGAGUCUAUCUUUCUUUCUAGCUCUAAUAAAAUUUUCUUUAUAUUCAUAAGUGGAAAUUGAACAAUGAGAACAUAUGGACACAGGAAGGGGAACAUCACACUCUGGGGACUGUUGUGGCAUGGGGGGAUGAGGGAGGGAUAGCAUUAGGAGAUAUACCUUAUGCUAAAUGACGAGUUAACGGGUGCAGCACACUAGCAUGGCACAUGUAUACAUAUGUAACUCUCCUGCACAUUGUGCACAUGUACUCUAAAACUUAAAGUAUAAUAAUAAAAAAAAUAAAAAAAGAAAAAAUAAUAAGAAAACUGGCAGAAGACAAAGAUAUCAUCUCUCACCACUUCUAUUCAACAUAGUAUUAAAAGUUCUGGCCAGGAAAAUCAGGCAAAAUAAAUAAAAGGCAUCCAAAUAUGAAUAGAGAAAUUCCAACUAUCCCUGUUUGCAGAUGACAUAAUCCUGUAACUAGAAAAACCCAUAGUCUCAACCCAAAAGCUUCUUAAGCUGACAAACAACUUCAGCAAAUUCUUGGAAUACAAAACCAAUGGGCAAAAACACUA
rnacentral:lncRNA from 1 species